rnacentral:rRNA from 1 species
CAGUUAGUUGGCGGGGUAAUGGCCCACCAAGACGAUGAUCUGUAUCCGGCCUGAGAGGGCGCACGGACACACUGGAACUGAAACACGGUCCAGACUCCUACGGGAGGCAGCAGUGGGGAAUUUUGCGCAAUGGGGGAAACCCUGACGCAGCAACGCCGCGUGGAGGAUGAAAUCCCUUGGGAUGUAAACUCCUUUCGAUAGGGAAGAUAAUGACGGUACCUAUAGAAGAAGCCCCGGCUAACUUCGUGCCAGCAGCCGCGGUAAUACGAGGGGGGCAAGCGUUGUUCGGAUUUAUUGGGCGUAAAGGGUGCGUAGGCGGUUUGGCAAGUCUUGUGUGAAAUCUUCGGGCUCAACCCGAAGCCUGCAUAAGAAACUGCCGGGCUUGAGUAUGGGAGAGGUGAGUGGAAUUUCCGGUGUAGCGGUGAAAUGCGUAGAUAUCGGAAGGAACACCUGUGGCGAAAGCGGCUCACUGGACCAUAACUGACGCUGAGGCACGAAAGCUAGGGGAGCAAACAGGAUUAGAUACCCUGGUAGUCCUAGCCCUAAACGAUGAUUGUUUGAUGUGGCA